UUCAAUAUAGCUUAAAAUUUAAAAAGCAACGAUUUUGUAAAUCGAAGAUAUUAUUUAUUGUUU
rnacentral:tRNA from 1 species